rnacentral:rRNA from 4 species
UUGAGAGUUUGAUCCUGGCUCAGGACGAACGCUGGCGGCGUGCUUUAGGGAUGCGAGUCGAGCGGUCUUUUUUUACAAACAGAUGUUUCGCAAGAAACUGAAGAGAGUGAGUUAAGAUAGCGGCAGACGACUGAGUAACACGUAGACAACUUACCCAGAACACAGAGAUAGCCACGCGAAAGUGUGGGUAAUAUCUGAUAGCCCGUAUAGGUGAAAUCCGGUACGGUAAAGGCGCAAGCCGGUUUUGGAGAGGUCUGCGGCCCAUCAGCUAGUUGGCAGGAUAACAGCCUACCAAGGCGAGGACGGGUAGGGGGCGUGAGAGCGCGACCCCCCAGGAUGGCACUGAGACACGGGCCAUACUCCUACGGGAGGCAGCACUCGGGAAUUUUCCACAAUGGACGAAAGUCUGAUGGAGCGACGCCGCGUGAAGGAUGAAGGUUUUCGGAUCGUAAACUUCUUUUGCCAAGGAAUAGGAAGGAAGGUACUUGGCGAAUAAGGGGCUGCUAACUGCGUGCCAGAAGCAUCGGUGAUACGUGGGCCCCAAGCGUUGUCCGGAUUUAUUGGGCGUAAAGCGAACGUAGGCGGUUAAGAGGAUCUUGUUUCAAAGACCCCAGCUCACCUGGGGAAAGGGACGGGAUAUCGCUUGACUUGAAUUGAGGAGGGGAGAUCGGAACGCGUGGUGGAGCGGUGAAAUGUGUUGAUAUUACGCGGAACGCCGGUGACGAAGGUUGAUCUCUGGUCUCAUAUUGACGCUCAUGUUCGAAAGCUAGGGGAGCGAAACGGAUUAGAUACCCGUGUAGUCCUAGCCCUAAAUGAUGUCUGUUAGGCGUUGGAUUAAGCAUUUUUGUUCCUUCGGGAGCUCUUAUGACAAUUCAGUGUCGAAGUUAACACGUUAAACAGACCGCCUGGGUAGUACGGCCGCAAGGUUGAAACUCAAAGGAAUUGGCGGGGACCCGCACAAGCUGUGGAGCGCGUGGUUUAAUCCGACGGUAAUCGUAUAAUCUUACCAAGGUUUGACAUACUGUUGCAUUCCACUAGAAAUAGAGGAAGCUUUCGAAGGUGCAGUACAGGUGCUGCAUGGCCGUCGUCAGCUCGUGCCGUGAGGUGUACCGUUAAGUCGGGUAACGAGCGAAACCCCUAUCCUAUGUUACAAGUGUCUUAGGAGACCGCUGUGGUAAAACACGGAGGAAGGGGGGGUUGAAGUCUGGUCGUCAUGGCCCUUAUACCUUGGGCUACACACACGCUACAAUGGUUGGGACAGCGAGUUGCUACACCGCGAGGUGAUGCUAAUCUCAUAAACCCAACCCUAGUUCAGAUUGCAGGCUGAAACUCGCCUGCAUGAAGCCGGAAUAGCUAGUAAUCGCAGAUCAGCCAUGCUGCGGUGAAUACGUUCUCGGGUCUUGCACACACCGCCCGUCAAACUCCCAAAAUUGGGAUUACCUAAAGAUUUUUAGAAUUUAUUUUAAGGGUUUAGGGUAAGAUCAGUAAUGGGGGUUAAGUCGUAACAAGGUCGCCGUAGGGGAAUCUGCGGCGAAAUUACCUCCUUU